UCCAGUAUGGUGUACCGGUAACAUCGGUGCCUUUCAGAAAAGAGGAAAUGUCGACCGCACUAGCCCGGGGUUCGAGAGGAAACGUCGACCGCACUAGCCCGGGGUUCGACUCCCCGGACUGGAA